GUCAUAUGCUUGUCUCAAAGAUUAAGCCAUGCAUGUCUCAGUACAAGCCAAAUUAAGGUGAAACCGCGAAAGGCUCAUUAAAUCAGUUAUGGUUCCUUAGAUCGUACCCACAAUUACUUGGAUAACUGUGGUAAUUCUAGAGCUAAUACAUGCAAACAGAGCUCCGACCGGAGACGGAAGGAGUGCUUUUAUUAGAUCAAAACCAAUCGGUGGCGGGUUCGCUCGUCAUCGUACAACUUGGUGACUCUGAAUAACUUUACGCUGAUCGCACGGUCAUCGCACCGGCGACGCAUCUUUCAAAUGUCUGCCUUAUCAACUGUCGAUGGUAGGUUCUGCGCCUACCAUGGUUGUAACGGGUAACGGGGAAUCAGGGUUCGAUUCCGGAGAGGGAGCCUGAGAAACGGCUACCACAUCCAAGGAAGGCAGCAGGCGCGCAAAUUACCCACUCCCGGCACGGGGAGGUAGUGACGAAAAAUAACGAUACGGGACUCAUCCGAGGCCCCGUAAUCGGAAUGAGUACACUCUAAAUUCUUUAACGAGGAUCAAUUGGAGGGCAAGUCUGGUGCCAGCAGCCGCGG
rnacentral:rRNA from 1 species